GAUGAACGCUAGCUACAGGCUUAACACAUGCAAGUCGAGGGGAAACGACAUCGAAAGCUUGCUUUUGAUGGGUGUCGACCGGCGCACGGGUGAGUAACGCGUAUCCAACCUGCCCACCACUUGGGGAUAACCUUGCGAAAGUAAGACUAAUACCCAAUGAUAUCCCACGAAGGCAUCCGAAUGGGAUUAAAGAUUUAUCGGUGAUGGAUGGGGAUGCGUCUGAUUAGCUUGUUGGCGGGGUAACGGCCCACCAAGGCGACGAUCAGUAGGGGUUCUGAGAGGAAGGUCCCCCACAUUGGAACUGAGACACGGUCCAAACUCCUACGGGAGGCAGCAGUGAGGAAUAUUGGUCAAUGGGCGAGAGCCUGAACCAGCCAAGUAGCGUGCAGGAUGACGGCCCUAUGGGUUGUAAACUGCUUUUAUAAGGGAAUAAAGUGAGCCUCGUGAGGCUUUUUGCAUGUACCUUAUGAAUAAGACCGGCUAAUUCCGUG
rnacentral:rRNA from 1 species